rnacentral:rRNA from 1 species
AGCGAUAGCAUGCUGUCGCAGGAUCAUUA